CCCCCCCCGCCGUGGGAGCUGCCGCCGGGCAGGAGGAGGAAGAGCAGCAAGGGCGAGCGGGCGCCCUGCUCCCCCCAGCCCCAGGUGAGCAUGCGGCGGCCCCCCGGGCUUGCCGCGGGGCUGGAGCUGCCCCGGGGGCACCCAGGGCUGCGGGUCCCCCCUCCAGAGCGGCAGGGUCCCUGGCGGCGGGACCGUCCCUAACGGAGGCUCUCGGCGGUGGUGGCAGCCGGUGCCCCCGCCGUGGUCCCCAGCGCUGCUGUGCGCGCUCCGGGAGGAGGAGGAGGAGGAGGAAGCCUUGGCUGCCAUGCUGAUGUCCUGGUACAUGAGCGGCUACCACACCGGCUUCUACAUGGUAUGACAGGGCCGGGGGGUCGCGGGGCGGGUGGGACGGCUGGGGGAAGGCGUGAUCCCCCCCGUGACCCCCCCACUGCUCUGCACCCCCAGGGCCUCCGCAAGGGCCGGGCCGAGGCGGCCGCACUGCUGCCGAGACGGGGCUGCAGGCAGAAGAAGCCAUCGCCGCGCAGCUAGGAGGGCAGCUGGAUCGGCGUCCCCGUGUCCCGCUGCAGGGGCAGGGCUGGGGCGAAGUGCAGCGCUCCCGGCCUCGCCUUGCCGCGGGGGGGCCCAGUGGUGGGAGCCCGGGAGGAGGGGGAGCCGCUGUCCCCCCGCCACGGGCCGGCUCUGCCUCCGUGCCUGGCCUCGGAGGCGCCGCAACCCCCCGGGCUGCCCCGGCCGUGCUCCCCCCGCACAGGGAUUUGGGAAUAAAGCUGCUUUGUGGGAUGCUGUGUGCUGGGGCUGUCUGCACCCCGGGGAAGGGGCCCGGCCCYGCGCAGGGGCCUGGUGCUCGCUCUCAGCCCAGGACUCGAACGGGGCUCGGUGUCC
rnacentral:lncRNA from 1 species